UACUGAUUAGACCCAGGAGGUCUCAGGAGUCCAGAGUUGCUUGGAGCUUGGCUCAGAAUUCCAAGGGGGCCCAUAACUCCAUGAGGCCCAGAGUUCCUGGCUUGGGAACACUGGGAGGCCUGGGAUACUGUGGCUUAGACUCAAGCAGAAAGGUGAACACAGAUCUUUAUUAGCAGAUACCAAAUUUGACAUUUAAAGGAGAUUUCUGAGCAGCUGCAAACCUCGCCAAGACCAUGCAGAUUCCACCGACUAUUCCCAUGCCUGUGCUCCAGCUGCUCAGGCUUGAAGCUACUUCUUAGAACCACUGUAUAGAACAUGCUACCUGAUGAAGAAUAAAUCAACACCUUGCUUCCCGUCUUCUAUCCAUUAGAUAUCCAGGUGAAUCUGGAUUGGGAAAGUCGACAUUAAUCAACUCAUUAUUCCUCACAGAUUUGUAUUCUCCAGAGUAUCCAGGUCCUUCUCAUAGAAUUAAAAAGACUGUACAGGUGGAACAAUCCAAAGUUUUAAUCAAAGAAGGUGGUGUUCAGUUGCUGCUCACAAUAGUUGAUACCCCAGGAUUUGGAGAUGCAGUGGAUAAUAGUA
rnacentral:sRNA from 1 species